UACGUAGGGUGCAAGCGUUAAUCGGAAUUACUGGGCGUAAAGCGUGCGCAGACGGUCACGUAAGUCGGGUGUGAAAGCCCCGGGCUCAACCUGGGAAUUGCAUUCGAGACUGCAUGGCUAGGGUGCGGAAGAGGGAAGCGGAAUUUCCGGUGUAGCGGUGAAAUGCGUAGAUAUCGGAAGGAACACCAGUGGCGAAAGCGGCUUCCUGGUCCAGCACCGACGUCAGGCACGAAAGCGUGGGGAGCAAACAGG
rnacentral:rRNA from 1 species